GACGAACGCUGGCGGCGUGCCUAAUACAUGCAAGUAGAACGCUGAAGGAGGAGCUUGCUCUUCUGGAUGAGUUGCGAACGGGUGAGUAACGCGUAGGUAACCUGCCUGGUAGCGGGGGAUAACUAUUGGAAACGAUAGCUAAUACCGCAUAAGAGUAGAUGUCGCAUGACAUUUGCUUAAAAGGUGCAAUUGCAUCACUACCAGAUGGACCUGCGUUGUAUUAGCUAGUUGGUGAGGUAACGGCUCACCAAGGCAACGAUACAUAGCCGACCUGAGAGGGUGAUCGGCCACACUGGGACUGAGACACGGCCCAGACUCCUACGGGAGGCAGCAGUAGGGAAUCUUCGGCAAUGGACGGAAGUCUGACCGAGCAACGCCGCGUGAGUGAAGAAGGUUUUCGGAUCGUAAAGCUCUGUUGUAAGAGAAGAACGAGUGUGAGAGUGGAAAGUUCACACUGUGACGGUAUCUUACCAGAAAGGGGACGGCUAACUACGUGCCAGCAGCCGCGGUAAUACGUAGGGUCCCGAGCGUUGUCCGGAUUUUAUUGGGGCGUAAAGCCGAGCGCAGGCGGUUAAAAAAUCCUGAAGUUAAAGGCUGUGGGCUUAACCAUAAUACCCCUUUGGAAACUAUUUAACUUUGGUGCGAGGGGGGGGGAGGGGGAUUUCCUUUUGUAUCAGGGAAAAUGGAAAAAAUAUGCGGGGACACCUCUGGGGGAAAAGGGGCUUCUG
rnacentral:rRNA from 1 species